GAGUAUGUGCUUGAAACAAGAAUGUCCUGGAGAAAAUAGACCACCACAAGAGAAGGGAUUGAGAAGGAGGGCUUCCUGUUGACAGAUCAGGGGGUGCCUUGAGGUUCCACUCUUGAUGUUCUGCCCCUUACCUGAAAGCGAUGGCCUCUUGUGCCUGACAUAUUAGGAGCAAAGCACAAUGGACUGCUGGCUUAUUGGAAUUGGUUACAAAGAUACAAGUGGACUUGUCUGUAGUAGUUGCUGAAGAGGAGCAGUCAGCACAAGGAGCGUGUGCCUCCAAAACAACGUGGGAACUUCUCCCAAGUUCAUCUCAAAUCACAAGGCUCUUCAGGAAUCAAGAUGUAACAAUGGAGGUUGAGAAGGAGUUUGCGACCCUCCUGAUUUGGACUACUCGCUAUAUACAUUCUCAAACAAUGGAUUGUAGCACUUCUGCACAAAACUCAACAAGUCAUGAUUGAGGAAAAUGCAACAAAUACUCAGUUGAGCAUUGAUUUAUGUGACUGGUAUUAGGGUAGGAUUCAGCUUGGUAAUUUUAUAUAAACUAUGUCCCAAAAGAACCUCAUUGGUCCUUAUGGUUCCACGCCACAAGCUGCUCCCUCCCCUGUUUCGGUAUACCGAACCCAGACUAUCAAGGGAUCAAAUGAAUUAAAAUCCACACUUGAUUACAAAUGAA